UACGUAGGUGGCAAGCGAUACUCGGAAUCACUAGGCGUAAAGCGCAGGUAGGAGGUUUGGUAAGUCUGUUGUGAAAGCUCCCGGCUUAACUGGGAGAGGUCAACGGAAACUACCAGGCUAGAGGAUCGGAGGGGAGACUGGAAUUCUCGGUGUAGCAGUGAAAUGCGUAGAUAUCGAGAGGAACACCGGUGGCGAAGGCGAGUCUCUGGACGAUUCCUGACGCUGAGGCACGAAAGCCAGGGGAGCAAACGGG
rnacentral:rRNA from 1 species